GGACCUGUAGCUCAAUGGCAGAGCAAUCCCCUCAUAAGGGAUUGGUUGUAGGUUCGAUCCCUACCGGGUUCA